ACGCUCGACACCUACGGGAGGGAGCAGUGAGGAAUAUUGGUCAAUGGGCGCAGGCCUGAACCAGCCAAGUAGCGUGAAGGAUGACUGCCCUAUGGGUUGUAAACUUCUUUUAUAUGGGAAUAAAGUUUUCCACGUGUGGAAUUUUGUAUGUACCAUAUGAAUAAGGAUCGGCUAACUCCGUGCCUGCAGCCGCGGUAAUCUGAGCGGGCUGGCAAGGC
rnacentral:rRNA from 1 species